rnacentral:rRNA from 1 species
GGGCCCGCACAAGCGGUGGAGCAUGUGGUUUAAUUCGAUGCAACGCGAAGAACCUUACCUGGGCUUGACAUUCUAUUGUAAGCUGUAGAGAUACGGUCCUCCCGCAAGGGACAGUAGAACAGGUGCUGCAUGGCUGUCGUCAGCUCGUGUCGUGAGAUGUUGGCUUAAGUGCCGCAACGAGCGCAACCCAUGUCCAUAGUUACCAUCAGGUAAUGCUGGGAACUCUAUGGAGACUGCCGGUGAUAAACCGGAGGAAGGUGUGGAUGACGUCAAGUCCUCAUGGCCUUUAUGUCCAGGGCCACACACGUGCUACAAUGGCAGAUACAGCGGGAAGCAAGCUCGCGAGAGCAAGCAGAUCCCUUAAAGUCUGCCCCAGUUCGGAUUGUAGUCUGCAACUCGACUACAUGAAGUCGGAAUCGCUAGUAAUCGCGGAUCAGCUACGCCGCGGUGAAUACGUUCUCGGGCCUU